rnacentral:ncRNA from 1 species
ACGGUUCUCUGGAGAGUCCCCCGAUCAACCGAUAUCGGCAAACGAUCGCCGAAACCUUAGUUGAUCUUUAAGGGCGCCGAAGGUGUACGGCAACGCAUUUUUGCUUGCCAAUCUCUCAGGCAAAAGGACAGAGCA